rnacentral:tRNA from 1 species
CAGAGAAUAGUUUACAAAAAUAUUAAUUUUGGAGAUUAAAGAUGAAGUUAUAGUGUUAAGGCUUUUUCUCUGA